AAUGUACUCCCUCAGUCCGAAAAUACUUGUCAUCAAGAUGGACAAAAGAGCGUGUAUCUAGACAUAUUUUAGUUCUAGAUACAUCUAUUUUUAUCCAUUUUGAUGACAAGUAUUUUCGGACGGAGGGAGUACAUC
rfam:Triticum aestivum genome assembly, contig: Triticum_aestivum_CS42_TGACv1_scaffold_576799_7BL